rnacentral:rRNA from 1 species
UACAGAGGUCUCAAGCGUUGUUCGGAUUCAUUGGGCGUAAAGGGUGUGUAGGUGGCGCGCUAAGUCGGGUGUGAAAUUUCGGAGCUUAACUCCGAAACUGCAUUCGAUACUGGCGUGCUUGAGGGUUUGAGGGGGGACUGGAAUUCUCGGUGUAGCAGUGAAAUGCGUAGAUAUCGGGAGGAACACCUGUGGCGAAAGCGGCUCACUGGACCACAACUGACGCUGAGGUACGAAAGCGUGGGGAGCGAACAGG